rnacentral:rRNA from 1 species
UACAGGGGGGGCAAGCGUUGUUCGGAAUUACUGGGCGUAAGGGCCAGUAGGCGGCCAACUAAGUCACACGUGAAAUCCCCAGGCUUAACCUGGGGAACUGCGUGUGAUACUGGAGUGGCUUGAAUCGGGAGAGGGAUGCGGAAUUCCAGGUGUAGCGGUGAAAUGCGUAGAUAUCUGGAGGAACACCGGUGGCGAAGGCG